AACGAACGCUGGCGGCAUGCCUAACACAUGCAAGUCGAACGAGACCUUCGGGUCUAGUGGCGCACGGGUGCGUAACGCGUGGGAACCUGCCCUUAGGUUCGGAAUAACUCCCCGACAGGGGUGCUAAUACCGGAUAAUGUCUUCGGACCAAAGAUUUAUCGCCUCUGGAUGGGCCCGCGUUGGAUUAGCUAGUUGGUAGGGUAAAAGCCUACCAAGGCUAGGAUCCAUAGCUGGGCUGAGAGGAUGAUCAGCCACACUGGGAGUGGGACACGGCCCAGACUCCUACGGGAGGACGCAGUGGGGAAUAUUGAACGAUGGGCGAAUGCCUGAUCCAGCAAUGCCGCGUGAGUGAUGAAGGCCUUAGGGUUGUAAAGCUCUUUUACCCGGGAUGAUAAUGACAGUACCAGAAGAAUAAGCGCCGGCUAACUCCGUG
rnacentral:rRNA from 1 species